CAGAAUUAUAAGUUUUUACAAUAAAAUGUGAUAUUAAAUUAAAACAUAUUAACUACAAAACUAAAUUAAAAUGUGUAACAAAAUAUAAGAAAAAAAUUAAAUUUGUUCGCGUAACAUAUAAUAAAGGCACCAGCGUUGAUUUUGUUUGUGACAAUUUGUAAACUAAGGACUAUCAAGCCAAACAGCUCAAAAUCAACAACUAUCACAUGUGUAAUAUGUUUGCAUAAGAAGACGGAUGUAUGUAAAUAUGUAUUUAUGCAUAAAAAGCAACAAACAUGGAAACCCACUUAACACGCCAAACACUGAGCACUGAAGCCGAUUCAGCAAGAAUAACCGUUAUACUUUGUACCAAAGUUUAAGUGGAAUUUUCGAACAAAGAUCCUUUCUCCGCCUUUAGUUGCGGUUGCAAGGAAAGUAAACAAGAAACAAAAAAGUGGAGUAUAUAAAGGGGUUCCAGCAGCAGGAGCACAUAAUACACACUAGUGAGACUUUUAUUUUUACAGGCGAACCAAACUAUUUUUCUUUUGAGCUAUAAGAGAGCAGGUGUGGAAGAGUUUGGGAGCUGCAAGAGACGGGGAAAGCUGCAGUAACCACGUGCCAGCUGUUGGAGAGUUAAAACAGCCGAGCACCCAGUCGUUGGUGGGCUGGUUAAAUAAAUGCGUGCACACGUGUUUGCUUAAUGGCUUUACCCACGCAAUGGAGUGUCAACACACACAUCCAUUUAUA